UGGGUUUCAUAGGCAAGGCCCCAGCUGUGAAACGGGACGGCUUUAUGAUCGAUCGGAGUGGGAUCGUGAACGUGAGGCAGCCUCACCCAUGCCCUUGCCCCCUUCACCUUCCCUUGCCAAUAAAAUGUAGACGAAGUAAGCUUGCUGAACCACGUGGCACCAGCACCUCUUAACUCCAAGUCCAGACUCGUGGCAAAACGGUCAUACUGGUGUUGGCGGUGGGACCAAAGUUUGUAAAGUUGUGAUGAGAGGAAGCAGGUCCAGGCUCUGCUCUCAUGGGGAGAAGACCUAGGAAAGGAGGGGAAAGGGUCCUACUAGAGAAGGCUCAUUUUAGCCUCUGCCUGCCACAUGUCAGGUCAGGCCAGGAAUAUUCCCUAGCAAUGCGGUGUAUGCUGGAUGGCAUGUGUUCCGGGCCAACCGAUUGAAUCUGAUCAGCGAAGAUAAACUUGAUCCACUGGCGAGAUCAACCAUCAGCGAGUGUGGCUUGAGCCAGGGAGAAGGCUGCUUAUUCGUAACAGCGCAGUGCCUGUGAGAUAGGCUGCUCUGCUCUUGUUUGCCUCAGCCAAACAAUCGUCCUACUGUGCACACUGGCCCAUGUGGUGUGGUCCUGUGAGACGCUGUCAUGGCUCUGCCCUGAUAUCCAUUAGAUAAGCUGAUUAAAUCUGCAUUAAUCAUGGGGCCCCGUGCGAGGGCCAUCAGUGCUCUUGAACGCUGCCACGCUGAUCAAUUGUUUUGGCGUGGAAUAAAUGCAUUCCCAUCACC